rnacentral:rRNA from 1 species
CGUAGGUGGCGAGCGUUAUCCGGAAUGAUUGGGCGUAAAGGGUGCGUAGGUGGCAGAUCAAGUCUGGAGUAAAAGGUAUGGACUCAACCCGUACUUGCUCUGGAAACUGAUCAGCUAGAGAACAGAAGAGGACGGCGGAACUCCAUGUGUAGCGGUAAAAUGCGUAGAUAUAUGGAAGAACACCGGUGGCGAAGGCGGCCGUCUGGUCUGGAUUCUGACACUGAAGCACGAAAGCGUGGGGAGGCAAAUAGGAUU